GUCCUUUAGUGAUAUACACAAAAUAUAAUCUUUUGUUUUUUUAUAUUAGAACAUUGAAUGGUUAGGUUCUAUAAUCAACUCUAAUGAAAUCAUGUUCUUAUUUUGAAAAGUGUCUGAUAUAUCUUAAAAUCGUAUAAGACUCGAAAAUAAAUUGCUCGUAUACAAAGAUAAUUUUGUCGUAAAGAAUUUAACUAUGGGGCUGCAGUAAGCCAUCAAAUACGAAGAUUCUCCAAACAUUUCAAUCCAAAACACUCCGUAUGUUAAGUAGAGCCCCAGAAUGGUCGUCGCACGGCUAUCCACUUAGGAACGUGGAGCACCUACUCCAUGUUCAGAAUUAGUUAAAGGCUCAAUAUUUUACAAUGUAACAAAAUGCACAAUCACUUGCCAAUUGAAAUAAAAUCUAUAUCAUCCUUUCCCGUAUUCCAUAAUAAUUUGAGGGCAUAUUUACUGGAAAGUGCCUUCUACACUGUAAACGACUUUUAUUCUAAUAAUAAUAUUUAAUUCACGACAUGCUGCAUACUGGUUUAAUUUUAGAAUGUUUUAUUUUGUUUGUAUCUUUAUUUAGUUGUUUUUAUGUUUGUUUUUUUAGUUUUUAUACAUUUGUCUCUAAAUUGUA